GACGAACGCUGACGGUGUGCUUUAGACAUGCAAGUCGAACGCGAAAGCCCUUCGGGUUAGUAGAGUGGCGAACGGGUGAGUAACACGUGGGCAAUCUGCCCCUCGCAGGGGGACGAACCGGAGGAAACUCCGGCUAAUACCCGUACGCUUGUGGGACCGCAUGGUUCCGCAAGGAAAGGUAGCUUCGGCCAUCCGGCGAGGGAUGAGCCCGCGGUGCAUUAGCUAGUUGGUGAGGUAACGGCUCACCAAGGCAACGAUGCAUAGCUGGUCUGAGAGGAUGAUCAGCCACACUGGGACUGAGACACGGCCCAGACUCCUACGGGAGGCAGCAGUCGGGAAUCUUGCGCAAUGGGCGAAAGCCUGACGCAGCAACACCGUGUGAGCGACGAAGGCCUC
rnacentral:rRNA from 1 species